rnacentral:sRNA from 1 species
CGGGCAUCUUCGUUUUCUGCACAGAACCACCCCCUCGCCCGACUUUCUUCCCCCUAGUUACUCAUCGCGAUAUCUAUGUUUUAAUGUCUGUGUCCUCCACUAAGAUUGUUAGCUCCGUAAGACUUGAGACUAUGUCUGUUUUGGUCUCCAUCAUCUAACCAGCACAGUACCUGGUACAUAAUUGGCAUUCAGUAAGUAUGAAUGAAGGAAUAAAUUAAUACAUAGUUUUAGUAGAUUAGUUAACUGCCCUUCUUUCGUCAUUGUUCAGUUGAAGAAUACCUGCUAUCUCUCCAAAGUGUAUAAAAACUCAUGUUGCAAUGGGUAUCUUAUAUUUGACCAAAAAAAAAAAAUUAACACGUGCUCAUUUCUUGCACUUUGCGGACGUGCUAAUUUAACUUGCUCCUUUGGAUACUUGGCAUCUAGCAAGAGAACUACCCCCUUGGUGGGUUGAGGAUUUGAGAAGGCAUCAGGGGAGGAUUAUCUCGAAACUGACUCACUAUUGAAUGUGUGCUUGGUUUCUCUCACUAGGAAAAACAGUACCAGUUUUACUGUCAUCUUGCAACAGCACACAUAUCAGUGCUUCAGAGAUGAUUUGGAAAUUUGAUGUGAAAGACUAAUACGAUCAAGUCUUUAUUCAAAAGUUAAUGCAGUAGCUGCAUUUUAUUCACUGAUUAUAGGCAAAUCAGUACUUUGCCUACUGUCUAUUUUCGUCAUCUCAUAAGUAAUUGCAAAAAUGAGAUUUUCUGGUUGAUUAGACUUCUGAGCCAGUCCUUUGUAAAUCACACUGCUCUCCUUUUCCUUAUAAUCUUUGAUUAUUAAGAGCCACUAAUUGUGUGUGUGUGUUUUUUUUUUUGUCUCUGUCCCCCUUUUUUUUUUUUUUUUUUUUUUCAUUUUUAGGAUCUGCAGAAAAGGCUGUCUUGGAACAAUUUGGAUUCCCUUUAACUGGAACAGAGACAAGGGACUGCAUGGAAGGUUGUCUUGGCACUGAACAGAGAAAGUUCAAAAGGAAGAUAAAAAGUUUGUUCCAGAGAAGGUGAUGCAGACAGAAAGCAUUGUAAAUUUAAGCCUGAUCCCAAUAUCCCUCCAACCUUCAGUGCCUUCAAUGAAGAUUAUGUUGGAAGUGGGUGGUCACGAGGACACAUGGCUCCAGCAGGAAAUAACAAAUUUUCAAGUAAAGCCAUGGCUGAAACCUUUUACCUUUCUAACAUUGUGCCUCAGGAUGUUGAUAAUAAUUCUGGAUAUUGGAACAGAAUAGAAAUGUACUGUCGAGAGCUGACAGAAAGGUUUGAAGAUGUUUGGGUGGUAUCUGGGCCUUUGACCUUACCUCAGACUGGAAGCGAUGGAAAGAAAAUAGUUAGUUACCAGGUGAUUGGCAAGGACAACGUGGCAGUCCCCUCACACCUUUAUAAGGACCACGCUGGCUGCUGUGUUGAGAGCAGCUGGGGACAAGGACCAGUGAGGAGGCCGCUGCAAGAAUCCAGGAGAGAGAUGAUGGUGGCUUAGACCAGUGCAGUGGCAGUGGAGAUGUUGAGAAGUGGUUGAACUUGGGAUAUAUUUCGAAGGCAGAGCCAACAGGAUUUCCGGCCGGAUUGGAUGUAGGGUGUGAGAAAAAGAGAGGCGGCAAGGAUGACGUCAAGGGUUUUGGCCUGAGCAGCUGGAAAUCCAGCCGGGCACCCCCGUGGGGGCUGUUGAGUGGUUUUAACUUUCUCCUGGGGCCUGUGGGUGAAGCUGAGACAGAGACCGAAGGGAGGGGCUGAGCCCUGCCCCUGGCUCUGUGGCUCAGGGAAUAGGCUGCACAUACUGAUUAUUCCAUUACCCUUU